CAAUAGCGUAUAUUAAAGUUGUUGCGGUUAAAAAGCUCGUAGUUGGAUCUCGGCAGGCAGGGGGUGGUUCGCUCUUAGCGCUACUGCCCCAUUUGCCUGUGUGAUUGGCGGAGGUUUCGGGGUGCUCUUCGUUGAGUGACCCGGGGCGCCGUCAGGUUUACUUUGAAAAAAUUAGAGUGCUCAAAGCAGGCUUUUCACGCUUGAAUAUUCGUGCAUGGAAUAAUGGAAUAGGAACUCGUUUCUAUUUUGUUGGUUUUCGGAAAUCGAGUUAAUGAUUAAUAGGGACAAUUGGGGGCAUUAGUAUUCAGGCGACAGAGGUGAAAUUCUUGGACCGUCUGAAGACUAACUACUGCGAAAGCAUUUGCCAAGAGUGUUUUCAUUAA
rnacentral:rRNA from 1 species